rnacentral:rRNA from 1 species
CAAUAGCGUAUAUUAAAGUUGUUGCAGUUAAAAAGCUCGUAGUUGGAUUUUGAGUUUGGUAAAAUCGGUCUGCUUUUUGCAGUACUGACUUGCCUGCUCUUCUUCUCGAGGCCUAUGGAUGUACUUAACCGUAUGUUCAUAGUGUUCGGGACUUUUACCGUGAGAAAAUUAGAGUGUUCAUAGCAGGCUUUUGCUUGAAUAUUGCAGCAUGGAAUAAUGGAAUAGGAUCAUGAUCUUAUUUUGUUGGUUUCUAAGAUCAAGAUAAUGAUUAAUAGGGAUAGUUGGGGGCAUUAAUAUUUAGUUGUCAGAGGUGGAAUUCUUAGAUUUACAAAAGAUUAACUUCUGCGAAAGCAUUUGCCAAGGAUGUUUUCGUUAA